ACUCAGGAUUAAGAUUUUUUUUAAACCAGCAGCCAAUGUAUAGGGAGUGGAUUUGCAUGAAGGGGCCGUUCUCCAGCGCUGAGGGUUUAAGAGAGAAUCGGAGGGUCCCAGCCACAGACCCGUUUGCCUCAGGGAGCCGAGCUCGUCUGGAUUCCCCACCAUGGCCUGGGCCCCUCUGCUCCUCGCGCUGCUCACGUACUGCUCAGGGGUCAGUUCGCAGCCCGUGGUGACUCAGGAGCCCUCGAUGUCGGUGACCCCAGGAGGGGCUGUCACUCUGUCCUGCAGCCUGAGCUCUGGAGCCGUCACCACCAGCCACUAUCUCUCCUGGUACCAGCAGAAACCUGGCUCUGCUCCUCGACUGCUUAUAUAUGAAACUAAUAAGAGACCCUCCGGGAUCCCUGCCCGGUUCUCUGGGUCCAUAUCCGGUAACAACGCUGCCCUGACCAUCACCGGUGUCCAGGCAGAGGAUGAGGCUGACUAUUACUGUGCUGUGGCAACUGGUAGUGUGAAUCACAGUGAUCCAGCCAGAGGGGGAACUGAGACAAAAACCUCCCCUUUCUUCAUCUCCUCCAGCCUGGGCUCUGCAGCCAUCACCACCAGCAACGCUCCAGGCUGGUUCCAGCAGAAACCAGGCUCUGCUCUUCGACAGCUUAUAUAUGAAACUAAUAAGAGACCCUCCGGGAUCCCUGCCCGGUUCUCUGGGUCCAUAUCCGGUAACAACGCUGCCCUGACCAUCACCGGUGUCCAGGCAGAGGAUGAGGCUGACUAUUACUGUGCUGUGGCAACUGAGAGUAAGAAGUGA